ensembl:lncRNA
AGGGGAGAGACUCUUUUGCAGGGUCUGCUAUGACAGGACAAGGGGAAAUGGUUUCAAACUGAAAGAGGGGAGAUUAAGGCAGGAUAUAAGACUAAAUAUAAGUUUUAUAGAAUAGCUAGAAGUUUGCUGUAGUAAGGACAGUGAAGCACUGAAACAGCUUGCCCAGAGAGGUGGUGGAUGCCCUGUUCCUGGAGACAUUCAAGGCUGCUCCUGCAGAUGCAUUUGGAGAGCAGAAUAGGUUUCCAGCUAUAGAAUGCAAUCGGGAACAGUCAGCAAUAUGGCAGUUCUGAGCUUACAAAGUGCCUUACCAGCAAGGCUUUUCACUACUCUGAGCCACUCCAGCAGAAAAUAAGGUAGUUUUUCCACCUCAUCUGUGCUCUCCUCAUUUCCUUUGGGAAGUCAGGUUUCCAUAGGAAACCAUGCUGUUGGAAGCUGAUUCUUCCAGAGGUCUAACACUAGCCUCUGUAAGUCAGGAAGGCAGCUUAGCAGGCCCACUGGGAAGUAGCAGAUGGAUAGGAAAAUGACAUGCUUUCCAAAAGUAUUUAAAUAUCAACUCUCUUUUGUUACAGCUGUGUAAGAGCCAUAUAAAAUCAAGUAACAUGUAGGAGAGAAAAGGGGUCAUGAAGGAGGAGUUUGAGCAAAAAGUAAUGCUAAAAAAGAAAAAAAAAUCCAUUGCAAAUGGUAAUGUAAAUAAGGUAAAACUUGAAAACUAUGAAGCAAUACUGCAGAUAGUCAUGUCUGAAGGAAUACCUAGAGGGUUCUUUUUGGUGGUGAUCUUCACUCCUGGAUCUGAAUUUUUCUGGACUGUCUCCCUUACCACUUCUGCAGGACACAAUUGCAACAGAAUUUUCCUUGAAUCAACGGAGGACUAUUACUUGAUGAGAUCAUUGUUUUCAGACUGUUUAAGUCAGACAGAGGUACAUGCCCGCUUCACCCUGAGCCCUUCUGCGAAUGGUCAGAAACAGAAUACUGUGUGAUCUCAAAAAGAUUCAGAGCAAACAUGGAAGACAGUUAUGUUUAAAUGACACUCUGGUUGGGCAGGCACUGAACGCAGUAACAGUUUCAACAUAGACACCUUAAACCUUCCAGUAUUCUAUUUUAGGUUUGUUCUUCAUUCUUGCAUCACAGCAGGAGUUGUACCCUUUAUCAGUGUUGAUGUCUUCUUAAAAGAGGGUCUGUGACCGCAUUUGAAGUAUCUCUACUACCAGUUGUGGUGAUUUCACCCUGAUGUGCAGCUAAACUACUACAUCAUUCUCCUGUUACUCCUACUCAAAGGAAGAGGGGGAGAAAAUGAAAUGAAAAAAGGCUCAGGGUUUGAGAUUACCGUCACUGAUCAGUGAUUAUGAGAAUAAAUAAACAUAGUGUGGAAAAAUCUUUGUAUAGUCAUUAAAAUACCCAAGUGUGGCAUUCUAGUAGAGAUUUAAUAAGGAGAAGAAACUGACCCUCAGACUUAGGAAUUCAUUUUCUUUACUUUUCUACAAGGACAGACAUACAUCUCUCUAUCUAAUUUAUAUAUACAUACGUAUAUAUAAAGCAAAGCUUUUAAAGAAUUUUUAUUUAUCAUUGUAAAAUCUCUACUUAGAAUUGGAAAGAGAUAGAAAAAAAAAAAGUAGACUUUGAUUAUCACCUUGAUACAUCUAAGUGUUUACAGUGGGAGCUAAGCUGUAGCAUAGCAAUGUAAUAAAAAUAGAAAGUAAAGUGACGUAAAAAGUGCACUGAGGACUACCUUAUAACUAAUUCCAAACGUUCAAGAAUAGUAAAUGGUUAACAGUGAUGCAAAAGGAAAUUACAGAAAAAACAAUCAAAAAGGACUCCUAAACAAUGAAAGGAAACAAAAAAUUAAUAAAGCAGAAGACUGAAAAACAGAUAAGGAGAGCAAAACGGUGAAAGAUUUCACAGAAGAUUAUGAAAUUAGCACAAAAAAUUUUUAAACAAUCCUAAGAAUAAACUGUCAUUGAAGAACAGAAUAGGGAUUGUGGAGGAUCAUUUUUUAAGGGAUGAGGUAAAAAAAGAUGGAAAAUUUAAACAAAUUCUUCGCAUAGCUGUUCAGAAAGAAAUGUCAGCUCGCAGAGCUGUAGAAAUAUAGGUACAUAUUUUCUGGAGCAAAAGGAAGGAUAAAACACCUAAGUAAACACACACUGUAUGUGACAUAGUACAGAUGACAAUCUUAGCAUGUAUCACAUAAAAUAAUUUCUCAGUGCUAAAGCAUAUGCACUUCAGAAUUCACAGAAAGGGACAAAAAACAGCAUCACUCUUCACAAGACUAAUUUACAUCACUUCACCAUUCAGAUAACUUUUCCUUUUCAAAAUGUUGCUUUGAAGUCACAUGGGCUACUUACAUGACUGACAACUCUAGGACUGCAGUGAAAAAGAAGUUUCAGUGGAAUUAAAGAAAAAGUAACGGGAAGUGUGCAGGAGGUAUCUGUGCAAAGAAGGGCCCCAUGCAACUCCUCUCACAGCUUGCCUCUAAAAACUCAAGAACUGGGUUUAAAUGAGAGAAACACCUUGUCUUUCUGGCAAGUUUUAGCAAUGCCUUCUAUGCAGGAAAGCAAUUUGCUUCAAGACCAAACAGAAAUGCACACUGGUUAAGAGUGAUAUAUUACAAAAACAACAGAGUAUAGCUAAAUUCAGCAAAUUAUGAAGCAAUGGCUAUUUCAGUGAGAGUCAGAGAUUCGUCUAAUGAGAUCCAGGAGUUUCAGCUCUGAACAAAAAGUGAUGAAUUCAAGCUUAAAUUCCUACAAGUAACCCCUAUUCUACAUUAAAGGUAACCAUCCAUCACAUUUUUAACUACAUCUACAAGGGAGUUCAGUAACUUCAGUCUAAAAAAUUCAAAACACAGACAUAUUUUCAGCCAAAACAAAGCCAGAGCCAGCAGUAAUUUUAAUUCUUUUCACUAAGUAUUGUUCUGGCCAUAAGACUAUGUGUAAAAUGGAUGUGGUUGAAGCCACAAUGGACUGUAAGGUUUAUAGGAUGAACAAGUUGCUAAGGAAGAGCUUGCAUGCCUAAAAACUUACAUUAUUCCAGCUGGAGUGCAUCCUGUAACAACAGUACUUCUUUAUUCUUCCAUAUCUUCCCUAAAAAGCUGAGCGCUCUGGCUGAAGACAGGCCAGGAGAGGCGCAUGGAUGUUUGCCUUCUUCAUGUUGCCUGAAAACCUAGUCCUUGUCUCAUCUGGGAACAGGACAGUCAUGCCAAGUGGAUGCAUCUCCCUGCAUCUGUGGAGAGACAGCAAAUGUGCUGUCUGGAAAGUAUCUGUGUUCUAGGAGGUGAGAAACUGGCUUGGGCUGUUUGAUUUCACUUCUACUCAGAGAAAUGGGGCAAUGAACUUUCUAAUAAACAGGUUUGGUUCACAGAGGGAUGACUCCACCAUCGAUCAUUCCACCAGAGGAAUAACUCAAGAUUCGAAAAUUUUAACCAGAUAAUUUUAUCAAAAGAAUAAUAAAAAAAAAAAAAAAAAAAAAAAAAAAAAAAAGGACCAAGUAAUGACUUAAAACAAUUGCUGUGAUAUUACAUCUACAUAGGAUCUACUGGCCUAUAUGUCAGUUUUAAUCUGCCACUGGUUAAAUCCUACAUACUGAGCAAAAUAACUUACCAACACAAUACAUGCAAAGUAAAUAAAUACUCAAGCAACACUCUAUGUCCCACAUCCACUCAGAUACCAGAAGUGUGUAUUUCCAGUCUGUGAAAUACAAUGAUAAGUAAAAACAGUGAUUCUCCAUGAGUGCAUUACUCAGAAGAAGCAAUGUUAAGGCAGUCAGUGUGAUCUUUAAAAAUCACUCCCAGUAAAUAAAUAAAUAAGCACCUCUACCUGCACAGCUAUCUGAAGACAAGUUAACAAAUUCUGUUUUCCACUUAUUAGCAAAUCAGUUGUUCUGUAAAGAAUACAUGAUCAAAACCUACAGCAACAGCUGGCACAUGUAUAAAGCGGGGCAAAAAAAUUAAGAUGAAGUAUUUCUGACAAAAAAAUAUAUGAAACAAAACAAAGUUGAAAACUGAAGCAGAUAUCAGAUAACCAUUUUGUCAUUUAUAAAAUACUUUUUCAGGACAAAAGGGGUUGCCAUACCUUUUCACUCAGCAUAUCCUCAGAGUCACAUAUUAAGCUGAUCAAAUCCGAGGGUACUGCAGUAAGCUGAAGCUUGAAGCUGCCUCCACUUCCUUCAUUUCGUUUACAGUUUUGUUUGGGGGUUGUUCUUUUUUUUCUUUUUAGCUUGCAGAAACCUGAGGGAAAAAAAUAUUUUGGGGGUUACUAUCGAAAUAGUUUAUUCAGUAGUCAAUUAACUGAAAAAAACAAAUAGUUCUAAACUGAUCUCUUAUAUACCAUGCCCCUUUUUAUAUCAUAGUUAUUGGUUCCAUUCUGUUGUUAUAUUUUACUGAAAACAUUAUGAAUAUAAAUGAGAAUAGUGCACAAAGAGCAGAGGUGAAGAUAUGUCCCAUUAGAAAUCUGCUUUUUUACUUACAUUUACUGAGGUUAUCAAGUACCUCUUUAUGAACUCUUCAUCCCUUUCUAAAAGGUAAAGUUGAAAUUGGGAAAUAUAUUGCAUCAGUUAUUGGGCAUUCUGGGGUUUUCCAUUAUUUUAAAAACCUCCUAUGUGCCUAAUUAUAGCUAAUAAGUACUGUUUAGAAACAUAGCAGAGAACUCAUGAUUUCCUUCUUCACCCAAUGCCCAGAAAAUCCAUGUCCGAGAACAAAAUCUUGAAGGUAUUUGUGAUCAUGACCCAUUCUCAUUAUCUGUAUCCAUUCUAAGAUUUUUAUAUUAUAUGAAUGAAUAUUUUAAAGUGAAAUUAUAGUAUUCAAUGGCAAAUUACAACUACAUGUGACCAAGAGAGGAUUAAACCCAUCAUUUUGCUUAAGAGCUCUGAUGGCUGGAGUAAUUGGAUGAUAGCUGUAGGGCAUCUUUUUGGUCUGUAAUUAGGUCAUUUCUUUCUCAUCCCUUCACUGUGUGUAUAAUUACGAAUUAAUUUGAAAUCCCACUGUGAGUAAAGAAAGUCAGUUUAAUAUAACGGAAGUGCAAAAGCCACAAUAUAUUACUUUUUAAAAACUGCUUAUUUCAAAAUACUCAGUCUGGCCAAAAGUUAUAUCCCUAUGUACUGCAAGGCUUAUAUUUGGUUUCUUUGCUAACUUUGUACAAGUGCUGCUCUGAAAGUAAUGCCUCCUGUUUUAUUAUGUUGGUGUGCAAUGUCAGAGGUGGAUUUUGGUGGUACAUCAGGAGAGGUUGAACCUUCACACCAGUAUUCCACUACAUUUUGUUGCUGUGUGACAGAUGGCAGCAGAGGGUCAGUCUGACAAAAUGGCUUCUGACACGGAAGCAUCUGAGAAGAAAAGAUGUGGAACUGAAUUCCUCCAUGUGGUAAAAAAAUUGCAUCCAUUGACUUUCACUGAUGCUUGCUGAACAUUUAUGGAGAUCAAACAGUGGAUGUGAGCUCAGUGAGGUUGUGGGUAAUGUGUUUCAACAGCAGUGAUAGUGGCAGUGGUUCACCUCCACCGGUGCAAAUUUUUACAAGAACAGCAAGCAGGUUCUCGUUCAUCGUUGGCAAAAAUGCAUAGCUAAUGACAGUGAAUAUGCAGCAAAAUAAAGUUUGUAUUUGAGAAUUUUCUCUAUGAAAUAGUGUUAUUGUGCUCUUUGUAUUUGUUGCAGUUUCUAUGGAAAUAAACAGCAAGUAUUACUUUUGAAUCAAUCUACGUUCCUGGAUGUAUUUUCUCUCUUAAAAUAAAUGAAUUUUCAAAGCACCACACUUUGCUCCAGUAUCUGUCAGUAGGUGUCAACAGCACAAAAAGGUAGUGGAAAGAAAUAAAAAGUAACCAUGAGAGUCUUGACAGACAGUAUUAGCAUCAGAGAACUUAGAGGCCACUCUCAACACAGUCAACCAUUUUAUCCUUUAGUCCUGCCAUUAUUUCCUUCCACUGAAACUACCUUUCUGCUUUUACCCUGAAAGUGUUAAACACUG